rnacentral:tmRNA from 1 species
GGGGGCGUAAAGGUUUCGACGGGGAUUUUGAAGUUUUCGGAGCGAGCCGUGGCGGGCACCACGUUAAAAGUCCAUUUUAAAAUUAAACGCUAACAAAAAUUUAGCUUACGCUGCCUAAUUAUGGCAUCUGCUCCCCUUGUGUAACCACAGCAUAAGUACGGAGUAUCAAAGUAUGUGGUGAACGAGUCCUGUAAAGCUUUGAGCAGGCCUUGUAUUUAUGAAGCUACCAAAGGGAUUGGAUUGUUAAUGAACCUGUCCCUGAGGGAAUUUAAAUCAUUAACUACGCUCGUAGCGCUGAUUAUGAAUAGGUCUUCGGACACGGGUUCAAUUCCCGUCGCCUCCACCA